UACGGAGGGGGCUAGCGUUGUUCGGAAUGACUGGGCGUAAAGCGCGCGUAGGCGGGCUGGAAAGUCAGGGGUGAAAUCCCGGGGCUCAACCCUGGAAUUGCCUUUGAGACUCCCAGCCUUGAGUUCGAGAGAGGUGAGUGGAAUUCCGAGUGUAGAGGUGAAAUUCGUAGAUAUUCGGAGGAACACCAGUGGCGAAGGCGGCUCACUGGCUCGACACUGACGCUGAGGUGCGAAAGCGUGGGGAGCGAACAGG
rnacentral:rRNA from 1 species